UAGGGAAUCUUCCGCAAUGGACGAAAGUCUGACGGAGCAACGCCGCGUGAGUGAAGAAGGUUUUCGGAUCGUAAAACUCUGUUGUCAGGGAAGAACAAGUACGGGAGUAACUGACCGUACCUUGACGGUACCUGGCCAGAAAGCCACGGCUAACUACGUGCCAGCAGCCGCGGUAAUACGUAGGUGGCAAGCGUUGUCCGGAAUUAUUGGGCGUAAAGCGCGCGCAGGCGGCCUUUUAAGUCUGAUGUGAAAGCCCCCGGCUCAACCGGGGAGGGUCAUUGGAAACUGGAAGGCUUGAGUGCAGAAGAGAAGAGCGGAAUUCCACGUGUAGCGGUGAAAUGCGUAGAGAUGUGGAGGAACACCAGUGGCGAAGGCGGCUCUUUGGUCUGUAACUGACGCUGAGGCGCGAAAGCGUGGGGAGCGAACAGG
rnacentral:rRNA from 1 species